GCCUGACAUAUCAGGUACUUGAAUCUUUUUCUCACGACUCUUUUGACUUGUUUCAGGUAAUGUUUUUCUUCCAGACUUUAUUUUCAUUUGGAUUUUACCUUUUCUUCUAUUGAACAAUAUACAAUGAUGUUCCUUCCUCCUUUGUCUUCUCAUAUCUGCUAGGCAAAUAUUCCUGCUGCUUACCUAAGUGCCAAUAUGGAGUGGAGUGAACAACAGGAGAUUCUUAGAGCACCGAGUUCUGAAUAUUAUAAAUACAAGCUGUUAUAUGUCACCCCUGAAAAAGUUGCCAGAGUGAGCCUGAGUUAAAUGUUGACCAGUUGGAUAGUGCACUGAAAGACAAUGUGGCAGCUGAAACUGAUGCUCCUGCUGAAUAUAGUGAAAAGGAGGCAUUUGAUGAUCAUCGGUGCAAUGGUAAAGAACCAAUCAUCUGUCAGAGCUCUUUGAAAGAUGACUGUACAGAUAAAAGCAUAGAAAGCCUUGAUGAGGGAAAGACAGUAUUAAUGAAGGAAGCAAUUGGAGAAGAAGCAAAGGAUGCAUUGGUUUCAAUUUCGAAGACAUGCAAGCUUUUGAAGUCAAUCUCAAGAACCAGAAACCGGGGUUGUUGUUGUGGAUGAGGAUGGAAAACUAGAAGACAGAGUUGGAGUGGCCUUGAAAUGUCUUCCAAACUAUGAUCCUGCUACCUGUUUGUUCGAAACAGUUUAAAGCUGCAACGGAAUCACCCCCCUAUACAGAAAGGGUGUGCGUAGGAUUGGAGCAUGCACACUCUUUUUUCCAGUUUCAAAGCGCAGAGACAGAGAGAGACUACACUUUGUUAGAUCGCAGGUUUUGUUCCUUGGUUUGGGUUGGACUCUAAGGGCUUCUGCUUUUUGUGUCCUUCCCCUGCUGCAUUGUGUUGUUAGAU